UACAGAGGGUGCAAGCGUUGUUCGGAAUUAUUGGGCGUAAAGCGCGUGUAGGCGGCUUUGCAAGUCGGGUGUGAAAGCCCUCAGCUCAACUGAGGAAGUGCGCCCGAAACUGCAGAGCUUGAGUACCGGAGAGGAUGGCGGAAUUCCCCAAGUAGAGGUGAAAUUCGUAGAUAUGGGGAGGAACACCGGUGGCGAAGGCGGCCAUCUGGACCGGAAUUGACGCUGAGGAGCGAAAGCCAGGGGAGCAAACGGG
rnacentral:rRNA from 1 species